UACGAGAGCCUCGAGCGUUAUCCGGAAUUAUUGGGCGUACAGGGUGCGUAGGUUGUUCUGUUAGUCUUUUGUUAAAGCCCCGAGCUUAACUCGGUAUAUGCGGGAGAAACGGCAGAACUUGAAAGUGUGAGAGGCGUACGGAACUCAUGGUGUAGGGGUGAAAUCCGUUGAUAUCAUGGGGAACACCAAAUGCGAAGGCAGUACGCUGGCGCAUAUUUGACACUGAAGCACGAAAGCGUGGGUAGCGAAUGAG
rnacentral:rRNA from 1 species